AGAGUUUGAUCAUGGCUCAGGAUGAACGCUGGCGGCGUGCUUAACACAUGCAAGUCGAGCGAGAAGGUUAUGACUGAUUCUUCGGAUGAGGGAUUAACUGGAAAGCGGCGGACGGGUGAGUAACGCGUGGGUAACCUGCCUUGUACAGAGGGAUAGCCACUGGAAACGGUGAUUAAUACCUCAUAAAGCUACAUCAUCGCAUGAUGGAGUAGUCAAAACUCAGGUGGUACAAGAUGGACCCGCGUCUGAUUAGCUAGUUGGUGGGGUAGCGGCCUACCAAGGCGACGAUCAGUAGCCGACCUGAGAGGGUGAUCGGCCACACUGGAACUGAGACACGGUCCAGACUCCUACGGGAGGCAGCAGUGGGGAAUAUUGCACAAUGGGCGAAAGCCUGAUGCAGCAACGCCGCGUGAGCGAAGAAGGCCUUCGGGUCGUAAAGCUCUGUCCUAAGGGAAGAAUAAUGACGGUACCUUAGGAGGAAGCCCCGGCUAACUACGUGCCAGCAGCCGCGGUAAUACGUAGGGGGCAAGCGUUAUCCGGAAUCACUGGGCGUAAAGGGUGCGUAGGCGGCCAAAUAAGCCAGGGGUGAAAGGCUACGGCUCAACCGUAGUAAGCCUUUGGAACUGUAUGGCUUGAGUGCAGGAGAGGAGAGUGGAAUUCCUAGUGUAGCGGUGAAAUGCGUAGAUAUUAGGAGGAACACCAGUGGCGAAGGCGACUCUCUGGACUGCAACUGACGCUGAGGCACGAAAGCGUGGGGAGCGAACAGGAUUAGAUACCCUGGUAGUCCACGCCGUAAACGAUGAGUGCUAGGUGUCGGGGGUUCACACCCUCGGUGCCGGAGUUAACGCAUUAAGCACUCCGCCUGGGGAGUACGGUCGCAAGACUGAAACUCAAA
rnacentral:rRNA from 1 species